rnacentral:rRNA from 1 species
UACGGAAGCAGCAGUGGGGAAUAUUGCACAAUGGGCGCAAGCCUGAUGCAGCCAUGCCGCGUGUAUGAAGAAGGCCUUCGGGUUGUAAAGUACUUUCAGUCGUGAGGAAGGUGUUAAGGUUAAUAACCUUAGCAAUUGACGUUAGCGACAGAAAAAGCACCGGCUAACUCCGUGCCAGCAGCCGCGGUAAUACGGAGGGUGCGAGCGUUAAUCGGAAUUACUGGGCGUAAAGGGCACGCAGGCGGUUAAUUAAGUUGGAUGUGAAAUCCCCGGGCUUAACCUGGGAAUGGCAUUCAAGACUGGUUAGCUAGAGUCUUGUAGAGGGGGUAGAAUUCCAUGUGUAGCGGUGAAAUGCGUAGAGAUGUGGAGGAAUACCGGUGGCGAAGGCGGCCCCUGGACAAAGACUGACGCUCAUGUGCGAAAGCGUGGGGAGCAAACAGGGAUUAGAUACC